GUGCCAGCCGCCGCGGUAAUACGAACCGUCCAAACGUUAUUCGGAAUCACUGGGCUUAAAGGGUGCGUAGGCGGCCCGGUAAGUUGGGUGUGAAAUCCCUCGGCUCAACCGAGGAAUAGCGCUCAAAACUGCCGGGCUUGAGGAAGAUAGAGGUGAGUGGAACUUAGGGUGGAGCGGUGAAAUGCGUUGAUAUCCUAAGGAACACCGGUGGCGAAAGCGACUCACUGGGUCUUUUCUGACGCUGAGGCACGAAAGCUAGGGUAGCGAAGAGGAUUAGAUACCCUCGUAGUCC
rnacentral:rRNA from 1 species